rnacentral:rRNA from 1 species
AUUGAACGCUGGCGGCAUGCCUUACACAUGCAAGUCGAACGGCAGCACGGGAGCAAUCCUGGUGGCGAGUGGCGAACGGGUGAGUAAUAUAUCGGAACGUGCCCAGUAGUGGGGGAUAACUGCUCGAAAGAGCAGCUAAUACCGCAUGCGACCUGAGGGUGAAAGGGGGGGAUCGCAAGACCUCUCGCUAUUGGAGCGGCCGAUAUCAGAUUAGCUAGUUGGUGGGGUAAAGGCCUACCAAGGCAACGAUCUGUAGUUGGUCUGAGAGGACGACCAGCCACACUGGGACUGAGACACGGCCCAGACUCCUACGGGAGGCAGCAGUGGGGAAUUUUGGACAAUGGGCGCAAGCCUGAUCCAGCAAUGCCGCGUGCAGGAAGAAGGCCUUCGGGUUGUAAACUGCUUUUGUCAGGGAAGAAAUCCUCUAGGUUAAUACCCUUGGGGGGAUGACGGUACCUGAAGAAUAAGCACCGGCUAACUACGUGCCAGCCGCCGCAGUAAAAC